rnacentral:rRNA from 1 species
GUCUACAGCCAUACCACCCUGAACACGCCCGAUCUCAUCUGAUCUCGGAAGCUAAGCAGGGUGGGGCCUGGUUAGUACUUGGAUGGGAAACUUUGCCAAUUUUGUAGGUGAAAACU